rnacentral:misc_RNA from 1 species
AAGAAGAUGAAGAUGCUCCAAAUGUAAACCCAGAGGGAGUAGAAGAACUAAAUGAGGAAGUAAAGCCAGUAGACUUGGGGAGUUGCCAACUAGACCCAAAAGUUCCAACAGUGCUAGAGGCUUGUGAAGAGGCCGAACUAGCACCAAAGUUGAAUGGACUAGGAUUAACUAUGCUACCAGCAUUUGUCAAAGAACUAGCACCAAAACUGAAGAUGCCAGGUGUAGCAAUAGUGGAGUUUUUGCCGGCAUUUGCAGGGGAAGUCGAAGAACCACCACCAACAUUAAAUAUGCCAGGAGUAGCUGAAGUAUUGACAGAACUCGAAGAGGAAGAUGACGAAUUACCACCAAAAUUAAAUAUACUGGGGGUAGUGCUGCUGGAAAUUGCAACAGAAUUUGUUGAGGAAGCUGAAGAACUACCACUAAAGGUGAACAUCCCAGGAGCAGAGCUGCUGGAGAUAGGAGAUCCACUGUUUUUUGAAGGAGGAGCUGCAGCACUGGCACCAAAAGUAAAUACGGCCGUCCCAUUUGUAGGUACACUUGAACUGCCUGCUGCACUGGAAGCUGAUGAACUAGCACCAAAAGUAAAUAUUCCGGAAGCAGCACUGCUGGAGCUAACUAUGUCACUUUUUGAAGGUGAGGCAGAAACUUGACCAGAAGUACCAGGCACAGAACCAAACACCGGAAAGUUUGCUGUGGAUGGCGAUGAAGCUGACAAACUGAAAAGAGCAGGCAUGCUCCCUGAGAAAGCAGAAAUGCCAGAUCCACCAACAGAAGUCUCAGCACUAGCAAGUGAUUCACCUCCUGUACUAGAAACAGAACCCUGAGACUGUGUACUACUUGUAGUAGCUGUGGACAUUACUGAUGAACUAAAGCCAAAAAUACUAUUUCCUGAGCCUGUAGCUGACAAAGAUGCACCCCCAAAAGGUGAACUCUUCAAGUUGCCAAAAGUAGGUCCAGUCUCAGAUUUGGCUUUCACAUCUGUAGUUUCUGCAGCGGAAGUUGUUGCUGGUGCUGAAACUGCUUUUGGUGGAAUCGUGGGGAAACCAAAUUUGGUAGGAGGUUCCUUCGGAACUAAGGAUGUUGCACUGGAACCAAAGAGACUGAUAGCAGAGGCAUUACUGCUACCUGCUGUAGCAGCAGUAGCACCAAUCGUACUAGAAGCGCUUGUCAAAGAGACAGCAAUAUUUGAGCUGCUAGUCGAAACAUCAUUUGUAAAAUUACCCAAUGUCAAGGCAGAGGUGGCUGAGAAUGCAGGACUGGUAGCAAACAGUCCAUUACUUGAAGUGCUAGGUGGAGCACCAAAUGAGAAAAUACCACUUGUUGAUACUGCUUCUAAUUUGCCGUUGCUGUCCACAGCCUUCUGUGAGCUAUUCCACUGAAAAGGAUUAGGCCGACCAUCAGUUGGGCUGGACGCUAGACUGGACAGGCUGCUUACUGGCUUUGACCCUGUGACGGGGGUUGAUGGUGAAAAUAGGAAUGGUGGAACCUUAUCAACAUUUGUCUCCUUUGAUUUGUUAGAUGCAGUUGCAAGUAGGUUAGAGUUUAGUGAUUGGGAACCUGCACUUGACAGGAAUAUGGUGUUGUUGACAGCUGCUGCGCCAGUAUCAAGAGUCACCACAUCAGAAUUUUUGCAUAAAACCCGUGAAGGGGUCUUUGCUUCCAGCAAAUCAGCUGGUUUGCUUGUGGGUUCAGCACAUAGGGGCUUCUGGUCAGCAGCAGAAAGUUCCAGCUUCCCUCUCCCGUCA